ACUGGGCCACUGGCCCUUGUAUGAAACCCACCAAUGUGAAUCAAUGAAAGAAAUGAUCUCUGGAGUACCAUGUGAACUAAAGCAGGUUGUUGCCUAAAGGGAUAUAGAAUUUAUGGGAUGAAGGCUUAAAGAGUGCUUGGGGAUUGUGUGAAAGUUAUUAUGAGAUGACUUAAGGGGAAGUCAUCAAAGUUUAGGGGAAGGAUCAAAGUAGACAAGAGAAGAUCAAGAAUGGGAAAAUGGAAGGCAGUUAAGAGGUGCUGGUGAUACGCAGCGGGGAUACUGAAUGGCCAAGGUUGGAAGGGACCCCUGAAGAUCAUCUAGUUCAACCCCUCUGCUGAGCAGGAUCACCUAGAGCACACUGCACAGGAUGGCAUCUAGGUCACUGAUAAGUAGGUUGAACAACACUGGACCCAGUACUGACCCCUGGGGGACACCUCUAGCUACAGGCCUCCAACUCUCCAACUAGACUGCACCACUGAGUACAAGCCUCUGAACUCUGCCAUCCAGCCAAUUACCAAUUCACCUCACCGUCCACUCAUCUAGCCUGCAAUUCCUGAGCUUGUCUAUGAGGAUGUUAUGGCGGACAUUGUCAAAAGCCUUUCUGAAGUCAAGGUAGACCACAUUACUGCUCUCCCCUCAUCUACCCAGCUAAUCAUCUCAUCAUAGUAGGCUAUCUGAUUGGUUAAGAAUGAUUUCCCCUUGGUGAAUACGUGAUGACUACUCCUUAUCACCUUCUUACCCUCCACAUACUUGGAGAUGACCUUCACGAUGAGAUGUUCUAUCACCUUUCCAAGGAUGGAGGUGAGGCUGACUGGUCUGUAGUUGCCUGUAUCCUCAUUCUUGGAAACUGAAGACAGUCUUUGAGUUGAAGACAAUCCUUGCCCCAUAGAUCAAAAUGGACUCUAAAUAGACUCACAUCUUCCUCUGUUCCUCAGCUUGUUCUGUACAUGUGAAUGUUAAAAGCCAAAACUUGUUUUUGAACUUAAUAAACAUUGAGUGACUUACUCUGUGAAACACAGAACUCUCAAAUUGUACAUUAGUUUAUUUCACAGGUAUUUACAUGGUAAUUGGCAUUGUAUAAUGCAUGGAAAAUCAAUUCACUUAAUUGAAAUCUAGUUUUCAGUAUGGCUAUGACAUAUAUUUUAUUAUUAAAAUAAUUUUCUAAUGUCAUUUGUGUAUUUAUGCAAGAGAUGUUGUUACAGAAGUAAUUUGAGUUUCUGUAUUGAAAUGGAACUUAUGUCUUUGUGGUAUCCUUCAUGACUUUUUUCCUCUUGUCCUUGUCUUCCCUCAUGAUGGCACUUAUCCAGUACAGCAAAGGAGAUACAGACCAAAAUUUAAACACUGCAUAAGACAGAUUGUUUCUGUCCCCACAGGCCUUUCCUUUCCUUUCCUCCUCAGAACUGAAUAUAGAGGAGCUAUACAGUGCCUGAACACUGAACGCAUUGCAUGGAUGAUUGACUUUUCUCUGUAUUGGGAUUUCAAAAGUGCAGUAUAAAGACAUAGGUAUAAUGUCAGGCUUCUGUGAUUUUUAUUUAUUUAUUUAUUUAUUGUAUGUUUUAAAAUUAUUCCAAGUGCUAUAAAUCAAGUGCUAAAUGUUCUGAGUAUCUUUUUCUGCAGUUAAAAUUUCCAUCUUUUCAAGUAAAUUAAUCAGUUUGUUUUCCCAGGCUUCUGUGUCAACAUGAAAAUGAACAUGUUUCCUGUACUACUUUUGGCUGGAAUAGAGAUAAUUUUCUUCAUUGUA